UACGGGGGGUGCGAGCGUUGUCCGGAGUCACUGGGCGUAAAGGGCGCGUAGGUGGUCUGAUAAGGGUGUGGUGAAAGCCCGGGGCUCAACCCCGGGUCGGCCGUGCCGACUGUUAGACUAGAGUGCUGUAGGGGCAGGCGGAAUUCCGGGUGUAGCGGUGGAAUGCGUAGAGAUCCGGAGGAAGACCGGUGGCGAAGGCGGCCUGCUGGGCAGUUACUGACACUGAGGCGCGACAGCGUGGGGAGCAAACAGG
rnacentral:rRNA from 1 species